GCUCUCUGUGUGUGCGGCUUCAGUUGCAGCAGCUGCAGCUCUCUCGCUGUCGCUGUGCCAGGCAGCACCAGCCUCCACACACAGUCUCUCUCUCGCUCUGUGUUUGAACUCUUCUUCGUGUUUUCUUCUUCGUCUGAUUGACCUCCAACCUCUGAACGUCCUCAGGUGAGGAGACACAGGUGGAGGAGGAGAGGAGGUGUUGAGAGGACAGAAGGGCUGAGUGCGGAAGGAGGAGGAGGGGAGGAGGAGAGGGAGGACAACAGGAAAUCCUCUGUAAGAUGGAGAGAAAG